rnacentral:rRNA from 1 species
UACGUAGGGUGCAAGCGUUAAUCGGAAUUACUGGGCGUAAAGCGUGCGCAGGCGGUUAUGUAAGACAGAUGUGAAAUGCCCGGGCUUAACCUGGGAACUGCAUUUGUGACUGCAUGGCUAGAGUUUGGCAGAGGGGGGUAGAAUUCCACGUGUAGCAGUGAAAUGCGUAGAUAUGUGGAGGAACACCGAUGGCGAAGGCAGCCCCCUGGGUCAAGACUGACGCUCA